rnacentral:rRNA from 1 species
UACGUAGGGUGCAAGCGUUGUUCGGAAUUAUUGGGCGUAAAGAGCUCGUAGGCGGUUUGUCGCGUCGGCUGUGAAAACUCGGGGCUCAACCCCGAGCCUGCAGUCGAUACGGGCAGACUAGAGUGCUGUAGGGGAGACUGGAAUUCCUGGUGUAGCGGUGAAAUGCGCAGAUAUCAGGAGGAACACCGGUGGCGAAGGCGGGUCUCUGGGCAGUAACUGACGCUGAGGAGCGAAAGCGUGGGGAGCGAACAGG